UGGGUAACCUGCCUCAAAGAGGGGAAUAGCCUCCCGAAAGGGAGAUUAAUACCGCAUAAUAUGUUUAGGUCGCAUGACUUUAACAUCAAAGGAUUUCUUUUAGAAAAUUCCACUUUGAGAUGGACCCGCGGCGCAUUAGCUAGUUGGUGAGGUAACGGCUCACCAAGGCAACGAUGCGUAGCCGACCUGAGAGAGUGAUCGGCCACAUUGGAACUGAGACACGGUCCAGACCUCUACGGGAGG
rnacentral:rRNA from 1 species